rnacentral:rRNA from 1 species
UACGUAGGGGGCAAGCGUUGUCCGGAAUCAUUGGGCGUAAAGCGCGUGUAGGCGGCUCGGUAAGUCUGCUGUGAAAGUCCAGGGCUCAACCCUGGGAUGCCGGUGGAUACUGUCGAGCUCGAGUCCGGAAGAGGCGAGUGGAAUCCUGGUGUAGCGGUGAAAUGCGCAGAUAUCAGGAGGAACACCUAUGGCGAAAGCAGCUCUCUGGGACGGUACUGACGCUGAGACGCGAAAGCGUGGGGAGCGAACAGG